UACGGAGGGAGCUAGCGUUGUUCGGAAUUACUGGGCGUAAAGCGCACGUAGGCGGCUAUUCAAGUCAGAGGUGAAAGCCCCGGGCUCAACCCGGGAGGGUCGUGGCGAACUGGGAGGCUUGAGGCCGGUAGAGGUGGGUGGAACUCCUGGUGGAGUGGUGAAAUGCGUAGAGAUCAGGAAGAACACCCGUGGCGAAGGCGGCCCACUGGGCCGGUACUGACGCUGAGGCACGAAGGCGUGGGGAGCGAACGGG
rnacentral:rRNA from 1 species